AAGAACAAAGCAUUCCAAAGAGAAAAGUGAGUCUUUCAAAUUAAAGAAGAACAAGUCAUGUCCCACUUGCUGGAUGAUGUUACAAAUGAUGGAAAUAUCAACAAACAAAGCUACUAGCAAUUAAUUAAGAUGGACCAGCUGUAUAUGUGGUUGCAACACAAUCAUCAUACUAAUAAAAAUCAUAUCAACAGACUAUUAGUCGCCAAGAUUGAAUAGGUUGAUAUUCAAUCUAUCUUAACUAUAAUUACUUUUUCAAAUUAAGUAUGAGUUAAUCUUUUUUGCCCUGAAAAACAAUAGUACUGGUACACAACAAAUUACCAUCAUCUUCUUAUUCAUUCAAUAUAUGCAGCUUCCAUUAAUACGAAGAUUGACGCACCACACACGCAACCACCUGUGCCCAUUGCCGCAACCUUGUCUUCACUGCCUGUGGAUUAUCUCCUGGAAAGACAAUGGUGUGGGGACUGACGGGAGGAAGGGUUGACUCGCAAUUGGAGAUGACCGAUGAUACAGAGGAAGUCUUUGAAAGAGUGUCGGUGUAUUGUUUAUUCACGGCGUAAAACAGGUCAUACGCCGGAAAAGUAUCAGACAAUCGCUGAUCCAUUUCUGGCGAAUCAAAUCCAAACCCUAAUUCGAUACAGGCCUUAAUCUCAUCAAAGUCCUCAUCGGUAACGCUCUUGCUCCGCCGUUUGAGGCAGCUUCCGUGGGUACCCUUCCGCCGCUGCCACGCCUCGUCGCGAAACGUGUCCGGUGACCAAGAUUUCUGUUUGUACAAGGGAGACAUCGCCGACGACGAGGGUUGUGAGAGGCGUGGUCCUGAUAGCGGAGCUGCGGUGGGGUGUGACAUGGAAAAAGCCCGACCAACCCAACCCCUAUGAGAGGGUGGAGGGGAGCUCCGAUGGCUCGGGCGUUUUGGGAAAGCCAUAAUGACUUG
rnacentral:misc_RNA from 1 species